GCGAGUGAGCGGCAAAAGCUCAAUUUUGAAAUCCCCCCGGGGAGUUGUAAUUUGAAGACUAGGGGAUUUGGCCCAAACCUGCGCAAGUCCAUUGGAACAUGGCGCCCAAGAGGGUGAGAGCCCCGUCGCGCAGGCCGCAGCCUUGACAUCCCCCCGUCAAAGAGUCGAGUUGUUUGGGAAUGCAGCUCAAAGUGGGUGGUAAAUUCCAUCUAAAGCUAAAUAUUGGCGAGAGACCGAUAGCGAACAAGUACAGUGAUGGAAAGAUGAAAAGCACUUUGAAAAGAGAGUGAAACAGUACGUGAAAUUGUUGAAAGGGAAGGGCUUGCAAGCAGACACGAGUUCGCUCGGGCCAGCAUCAAUUUCGCGAGGUGGACAACACGCCAGGAAUGUGGCAGGCUCCGGCCUGUGUUAUAGCCUGCGCGCCAUACACCUCCGCGAGAUUGAGGCCUGCUCCAAAAGGAUGCUGGCGUAAUGGUUGCAAGUCGCCCGUCUUG
rnacentral:rRNA from 1 species